rnacentral:rRNA from 1 species
AUUGAACGCUAGCGGGAUGCCUUACACAUGCAAGUCGAACGGAGUGGCGAACGGGUGAGUAAUGUAUCGGAACGUGCCCAGUAGCGGGGGAUAACUACGCGAAAGCGUAGAUAAUACCGCAUAAUAUUGGAGCGGCCGAUAGCGGAUUAGCUAGUUGGUGGGGUAACGGCUCCCCAAGGGGACGAUCCGUAGCUGGUUUGAGAGGACGACCAGCCACACGGGGAUUGAGACACGGCCCAGACUCCUACGGGAGGCAGCAGUGGGGAAUUUUGGAAAAGUGGGGAAACCCUGAGCCAGCCAUCCCGCGUGUGCGAGGAAGGCCUUCGGGUGGUAAGGCACUUUUGGCAGGAAAGCGGUACCUGCAGAAUAAGCACCGGCUAACUACGUGCCAGCAGCCGCGGUAAUUC